GCAAAGAUCCAAGGCGUGGUGACGCCUGGAACAGGAAGGUUGCAGGACAUUUUCGACAGGCUGCCGCUCCAACUUCAAAAGGAGUUCUGAAGUACUUCCAAAUCAGAUAGAGAUCUGAUUUUUGGAGUGUAGAUUCAUGAGGAGAAGAUAUUCUAGUUUUUACCUGAGUAGAUAUCGAUAGAGGUUAGGCACUUACGUGGCUACAUCAGAACCUCGAGCUGUGCUGAGAUCAUCUACAGGGUAAUCAGAUUACCC
rnacentral:lncRNA from 1 species